UCGACUGAGACUUCGCGAAGUCUCAGUCGACGAGCUAGCCAUUGGAUGCUUUGGUUGUUCCAAGAUUCGUGUUCGGUGCUUUGCCCUAUGUUUCGGCCUAUAUAAGGCGCCGACCGGCCCGUUUUUCUUUUUUUUUAGUCGGAGCGUCAUCGCGCUUGCCUUUUGUGGGCUGGACAGGUGCUCGGGGUGGGCCUUUUUGUUUGUUUGUUCUUUUUUUUACUGUCUUGUUUUUUUGGCCGCAGUAAAGAAAUGGAAUGGGAAGCGGCGGCCGAGAGCACCCCGUGGCUAGUAAUCAGUCCAUUUCUUCGUCUAUCUCUCUGUUCUUUCUCUGUCAAAAAGUCAAAGAUCUCUGCGGUGGAACGAAAGAAAUCGCCUUUGCUCUUGAACGGCCAGUGAGAGCCUGGGCGAUGCUGCUAGUGGAGUACUUAGAGAUUAAUUAGGAUCUUUGGCCGAGAAGAUCUGGAAUAGUAUUGAGCAAAAGAGAUGGCUUGUGGAGUUUGUUUGAACCAUUGCAACUAUGAGAGUGAGGGAAGCGGUUUCAGCAUGUAUGUAUGGGAGCACUUCAAAAACGCAGGGGUUGUGCCAUGCAAUGAAAGGGUCCGUUUCAACAACAUGAUGGGAGCGAAGGAAUAGUCUUGUUGAGUUUGUAGCUGAAUUAAAGGGAUUGUUAGCAGUGGUAUUUGGUAGGCAGGCUUUUGUUUAAAGAAUGAAAAUGGACCAAAAUAUAUCUGCAUGUCAACAUGGAUGUGAUGUCAUGUGUGCUGACGGGGGCUGUAAUUUUUGGUGACUUUUUUCGCUGUGCGUCGAUGCAUGCUUACAUUUUCAAAUACUAGCAGCAGAUCAGUUGCUUGGGGGAGUGGGGAGGGGUGGACAUGAUUUGGGAGAUGUUUGAGGGGCCAUGACAUUGUGGGAUCCCAGGGGAAUGAUUAUAUAUUUUUUGUCUUGUUUUUUUUAACUCAAGCAAUCACUAAAGUUUGUAUAUUCCUGAAGUAGAGUCGAGACAAUGUGUAUGCCUGUUCCAGGUUCAGUUUUUGUUUACUAUAAUGACAACGAUGGUGUCUUUGUUAUGCUAGCCAGAUUUUUUGUAGGCUUGGCAGUGCCCUGCUUGAGAUAACAAACAUCAAAUCAUUUGUAAAAGCUGGCUACCCAAUCCUGGGCUUUGCACGCGUGUGUGUGUUGGGAUGAAUGUUUUUCAUAACAGAGAUCACAACUAGUAGCUGCUGGAUAUA